rnacentral:snRNA from 1 species
AGCUUUGCGCAGAGGCGGUGUCGUACCCUAUGAAGUUCAAACUGAGGGGCGACUAUUGCUAGUUGAAAACUUUUACCUCAUCGA